GUAUUCCUUCGGGGUAGGGUGAGAUUCCCAAUCGGCGGUAUAACCCGCGAGGUCCCGAUUUAAUCGGGACCAUGAUCAGGCUGAAUUCCUGAGUCGACCGUAAAGUCGGGAUGGAAGAAGGAUUAC
rnacentral:ncRNA from 2 species